GCCCCCAUAGCUCAGCUGGAUAGAGCAGCGGGUUUCUACCCCGACGGCCGAGGGUUCGAGUCCUUCUGGGGGCACCU
rnacentral:tRNA from 1 species